rnacentral:sRNA from 1 species
CGGGAUCUGCUCUUCUCGUACACAUGGGCGCAAGACUCCGGUGGCCUUACGCAACCGAAUGGGAGCUGGCUCUGUCCGGGCCCUGGUCCGGUUACCUGGCGCCCACCUGAUUAUUCAGGCUUCGGGAGCAACGCGCUGCUACGGAUGCUGUGGUCCCCCG